AAGUCGUAACAAGGUUUCCGUAGGUGAACCUGCGGAAGGAUCAUUAAUGAAUUUUGAAGGGGUUGUAGCUGGCCCGCAAGGGCAUGUGCACACUCCGUUCAAUCCAUUCUACCCCUGUGCACCACAUUGUAGGGAUGGAGGACCGUGAGGUCUUCUAUCUCUAUGUCAUUUCACAAACUAGAUAGUCUCAGAAUGUAAACGCGUAUAACGCAUCUUAUACAACUUUCAGCAACGGAUCUCUUGGCUCUC
rnacentral:misc_RNA from 1 species